AUAAGAAGGAAGAAGAAUAAUAAGAAGGGAGAAGCUCCAGGGAAACAAAUAAGAGAGGAAUGUUCUGGAGGUCAGAACACUGAGUGGCCACAGAGAACACCUCUAUCUCAAGACUCCUGGAUCCUAGUCAUGGUCUCCGUCAACAGAAACCGACUGGGAGGCUGUGGGGAAGAAUUUGCCACAUCCGUUGGGGUUGUUGCCAGUAUCUAGGGACUCGCAGAUGCAAAGAUUCCCAAGUCCUUUGCAAGAACUCUGAUGCCACAGAAGCAAAGAAACAGAGAGCAAAACUUAAGAGAAGUCUUACAGUUCCAAGAAAGUUUCUAUGAGCUAGUUAUGGUAUCUCAUAUUUCAAUAAAAACAUGUAAAGCCUUUAUAUUCUGG